rnacentral:rRNA from 1 species
AGUGAACGCUGGCGGUAGGCCUAACACAUGCAAGUCGAACGGCAGCACAGUAAGAGCUUGCUCUUACGGGUGGCGAGUGGCGGACGGGUGAGGAAUACAUCGGAAUCUACUUUUUCGUGGGGGAUAACGUAGGGAAACUUACGCUAAUACCGCAUACGACCUACGGGUGAAAGCAGGGGAUCUUCGGACCUUGCGCGAUUGAAUGAGCCGAUGUCGGAUUAGCUAGUUGGCGGGGUAAAGGCCCACCAAGGCGACGAUCCGUAGCUGGUCUGAGAGGAUGAUCAGCCACACUGGAACUGAGACACGGUCCAGACUCCUACGGGAGGGAGCAGUGGGGAAUAUUGGACAAUGGGCGCAAGCCUGAUCCAUCCAUACCGCGUGGGUGAAGAAGGCCUUCGGGUUGUAAAGCCCUUUUGUUGGGAAAGAAAAGCAGCAGGUUAAUACCCCGCUGUUCUGACGGUACCCAAAGAAUAAGCACCGGCUAACUUCGUG